UACGUAGGGUGCGAGCGUUGCCCGGAUUUAUUGGGCGUAAAGGGCGCGCAGGCGGCUACGCACGUCCGUUGUGAAAUCGCUCGGCUCAACUGGGCGGGGUCGGCGGAUACGGCGUAGCUGGAGCAAGCUAGGGGGCAAUGGAAUUCCCGGUGUAGUGGUGGAAUGCGUAGAUAUCGGGAGGAACACCAGUGGCGAAGGCGGUUGCCUGGAGCUUUGCUGACGCUGAGGCGCGAAAGCGUGGGGAGCGAGCCGG
rnacentral:rRNA from 1 species